CCUUAAGGAACGCAGACUAAGAACGCCACGUCCUGUGGCAACAUCUGCAUGACCAGCUUCCUGGGGG
rfam:Bacillus infantis NRRL B-14911, complete genome.